UACAGAGGGGGCAAGCGUUGUUCGGAAUUACUGGGCGUAAAGGGCGCGUAGGCGGCCUGUUAAGUCGAACGUGAAAUCCCCGGGCUCAACCCGGGAACUGCGUCCGAUACUGGCAGGCUUGAAUCCGGGAGAGGGAUGCGGAAUUCCAGGUGUAGCGGUGAAAUGCGUAGAUAUCUGGAGGAACACCGAUGGCGAAGGCACUUUACUGGGCUAUUACUAACACUCAGAGACGAAAGCUAGGGUAGCAAAUGGG
rnacentral:rRNA from 1 species